GGAUGAAGUUGGUGUCCUGGAGCGGGGGUGGGAGUGAGAGAGGGCUGCGGAGGCGGCGGCGAGAGGCUUUCAGCCGACUCCUCUGUGUUUACUUAGAAACUUGAGGACGCUUACAUCAUUGAAAACAACAGAAAUUAAAUACAUAUAGUGGACCUCCUUACUCGUGGAUUCGAUAUUCACAGUUUCAAGUAUCCGAGAGUUUUGUCCCAGUGGAGAUACUAUAGAAAGCACAAGGGAUUGAGUCAGAAAGGACAAGUUGUUCUGAGGCUAAUCGGAUAGGAAGAAGGCAGGUACUACUGGUCUCAAAGCAGCUUCAGUCUAGGACUCCAUGUUCCUAAAAAAAAAACCGGAAAGAAAAGAGAAUGCCAGAAACCUCCUAGCAACCAAACUGUUUUGCUUCUUUGGUCCAACAUUCAAACCGUACAAACUGUUCCUUUUAGUCCCACCCAGCAAGCAGGCGUGGCUUCUAGU